UCCGGGGAAGCAGCGGAUCCCUGUACCCGAAAUCCGCUACAGCGGGGGAUAUGCCUUUUUCGAGGGAGCGGUCCGUGCGGUCCGCGCAGUGCGGCGGAGCGUUGAAGGAUGGGUCCUGCGCAAUUCGCGCCCGUGAACCAUGUCAGGCGGGGAACCGAGCAGCAUUAAGCGGUGCCGCGGAUGUGCCGCGGGGAUGCCUGUCCGGAGCCGAGCCGCCCUGUUUCCGCGUGUGGGGCGCUUUCG
rnacentral:SRP_RNA from 1 species